UACGUAGGGUGCGAGCGUUAAUCGGAAUUACUGGGCGUAAAGCGUGCGCAGGCGGUUCGUUGUGUCGGCGGUGAAAGCCCCGGGCUUAACCUGGGAAUGGCCGUUGAAACUGGCGAACUGGAGUGUGGCAGAGGGGGGUGGAAUUCCGCGUGUAGCAGUGAAAUGCGUAGAGAUGUGGAGGAACACCGAUGGCGAAGGCAGCCCCCUGGGUUAACACUGACGCCUCAGGCACGAAAGCGUGGGGAGCAAACAGG
rnacentral:rRNA from 1 species